rnacentral:rRNA from 1 species
AGUCUGGCCUGCCCAAUGAUUUUUGAAUGGCCGCAGUAUUUUGACUGUGCAAAGGUAGCAUAAUCAUUAGUUUUUUAAUUGAAAGCUGGAAUGAAAGGUUUGAUGAGAAAAUAACUGUCUCUAUAUAAAUGGUUUAGAAUUUCAAUUUUAAGUGAAAAAGCUUAAAUUUUUUAUAAAGACGAGAAGACCCUAUAGAGUUUUAUAUUUGAACGAAUUUGGAAGUUUAGGAAUUUAUUUUUUUAGUUUUGUUUAAAUAUUUCGUUGGGGCGAUGGAGAAAUUUAAUUAACUUUUUUUGGUUUGAAACAUUGAUUUAUGAAUAUAUGAUCCUUCUGUUUGGAUUAUAAGACUAAAUUACCUUAGGGAUAACAGCGUAAUUUUUUUUGGAGAGUUCUUAUCGAUAAAAAAGUUUGCGACCUCGAUGUUGGAUUAAAAUUUAAUUUUGGUGCAGAAGCUAAAAAUUUGGGUCUGUUCGACCUUUAAAAUUUU